rnacentral:rRNA from 1 species
UACGUAGGGCGCGAGCGUUGUCCGGAAUUAUUGGGCGUAAAGAGCUCGUAGGCGGCCUGUCGCGUCAAUUGUGAAAGCCCGGGGCUUAACUCCGGGUCUGCAUUCGAUACGGGCAGGCUAGAGUUCGGUAGGGGAGAUCGGAAUUCCUGGUGUAGCGGUGAAAUGCGCAGAUAUCAGGAGGAACACCGGUGGCGAAGGCGGAUCUCUGGGCCGAUACUGACGCUGAGGAGCGAAAGCGUGGGGAGCGAACAGG